GGGCCCGUAGCUCAGCCGUAGAGCGUCGCCCUUGCAAGGCGGAGGUCUCGGGUUCGAAAGGAUGGAUCUCAAAGGAUUUAUUCAGAAAGUCCCGACGGGUCCA
rnacentral:tRNA from 1 species